AUUGAACGCUCGCGUCAGGCCUAACACAUGCAAGUCGAACGAUUGGCGCACGGGUGAGUUAUGUCUGGGAAACUCCCCGCUGCAGGGGGAUAACUACUGGAAACCGUAGCUAAUACCGCAUACCCUCGGAUGUCCCCAGAUGGGUUUAGCUAGUAGGUGGGGUAACGGCUCACCUAGGCGACGAUCCCUAGCUGGUCUGAGAGGAUGACCAGCCAGACUGGAACUGAGACACGGUCGAGGCUCGUACGAGAGGCGGAAGAGGGGAAGAGUGCACAAUGGGGGCAAGGCUAAUGGAGCCAUGCAGGGUGUGUGAAGGAGGCCUUGGGGUUGUAAAGUACUUUCAGCGGGGAGGCGUUGCCCGCAGAAGAAGCAACAGCUAACUCAGAGCCAGCAGCCGCGGUAAUUC
rnacentral:rRNA from 1 species